GGGUUCAGAAUUUAUUCUGAGCGGUAGCGGAGCGUUCCGUAAGCGAGUGAAGGCGAAGGGUAACCGACGCUGGACGUAUCGGAAGUGCGAAUGCUGACAUGAGUAGCGACAAACAGGGUGAGAUGCCCUGUCGCCGAAAGACCAAGGGUUCCUGCGCAACGCUAAUCGGCGCAGGGUUAGCCGGCCCCUAAGACGAGCCCGAAGGGGGUAGUCGAUGGGAACCACGUAAAUAUUCGUGGGCCUGAAGAUGUGUGACGGAUCGUGGAAGUUGUUUUCUCUUAUUGGAUUGAGAGGGCAGCCAAGCGGUUCCAGGAAAUAGCCUCUUCACUAUAGACCGUACCCGAAACCGACACAGGUGGUCAGGUAGAGUAUACCAAGGCGCUUGAGAGAAGUAUCCUGAAGGAACUCGGCAAAUUGCCUCCGUACCUUCGGAAGAAGGAGGCCCCAUAUCGACGCAAGUCUUUGUGGGGGGCACAGGCCAGGGGGUAGCGACUGUUUAGCAAAAACACAGCACUCUGCUAAGUCGGCUUCAAGACGACGUAUAGGGUGUGACGCCUGCCCGGUGCUCGAAGGUUAAGAGGAGGAGUGCAAGCUCCGAAUUGAAGCCCGAGUAAACGGCGGCCGUAACUAUAACGGUCCUAAGGUAGCGAAAUUCCUUGUCGGGUAAGUUCCGACCUGCACGAAUGGCGUAACGACUUCCCCACUGUCUCCAGGAUAUGCUCAGCGAAAUUGAAUUCUCCGUGAAGAUGCGGAGUACCCGCGGUUAGACGGAAAGACCCCGUGCACCUUUACUGCAGCUUCAGAGUGGCAUUAGGAAAUUACUGUGUAGAAUAGGUGGGAGGCUUUGAAACAUCGGCGCCAGCUGGUGUGGAGCCAACCUGUGAAAUACCACCCUGUGAUUUUCUGAUGUCUAACCACGCACCGUUAUCCGGUGUUGGGACCCUCUGUGGCGGGUAGUUUGACUGGGGCGGUCGCCUCCUAAAGAGUAACGGAGGCGCGCGAUGGUAUGCUCAGGACGGUUGGAAACCGUCUGCAAGAGUGCAAUGGCAUAAGCAUGCCUGACUGCGAGACCGACAGGUCGAGCAGAGACGAAAGUCGGUCAUAGUGAUCCGGUGGUCCCUCGUGGAAGGGCCAUCGCUCAACGGAUAAAAGGUACGCCGGGGAUAAC
rnacentral:rRNA from 1 species